UACGUAGGGUGCGAGCGUUAAUCGGAAUUACUGGGCGUAAAGCGUGCGCAGGCGGUUUUGUAAGCCAGAUGUGAAAUCCCCGGGCUUAACCUGGGAAUGGCAUUUGGGACUGCAAGGCUGGAGUGUGGCAGAGGAGACUGGAAUUCCUGGUGUAGCAGUGAAAUGCGUAGAUAUCAGGAGGAAUACCGAUGGCGAAGGCAGGUCUCUGGGCUGACACUGACGCUCAUGCACGAAAGCGUGGGAG
rnacentral:rRNA from 1 species